UACGGAGGAUCCGAGCGUUAUCCGGAUUUAUUGGGUUUAAAGGGUGCGUAGGCGGCCUAUUAAGUCAGGGGUGAAAGACGGUAGCUUAACUAUCGCAGUGCCUUUGAUACUGAUGGGCUUGAAUGUAGUUGAGGUAGGCGGAAUGUGACAAGUAGCGGUGAAAUGCAUAGAUAUGUCACAGAACACCAAUUGCGAAGGCAGCUUACUAAAGUAUGAUUGACGCUGAGGCACGAAAGCGUGGGGAGCAAACAGG
rnacentral:rRNA from 1 species